UGAAUAAAUACAUAAGUGGCCGACUUAAAA
rnacentral:sRNA from 1 species